AUACGGAGGGUGCAAGCGUUACUCGGAAUCACUGGGCGUAAAGCGCGCGCAGGCGGCUAUUUAAGUUGGAUGUGAAAGCCUACGGCUCAACCGUAGAACUGCAUCCAAAACUAUUUAGCUAGAGUGUGGGAGAGGAAGAUGGAAUUAGUUGUGUAGGGGUAAAAUCCGUAGAGAUAACUAGGAAUACCAGAAGCGAAGGCAAUCUUCUGGAACACUUCUGACGCUGAGGCGCGGAAGCGUGGGGAGCAAACGGGAUUAGAAACCCUAGUAGUCC
rnacentral:rRNA from 1 species